UUGGGGAUUUAGCUCAGUGGUAGAGCGCUUGCCUAGCAAGCACAAGGCCCUGGGUUCGGUCCCCAGCUCCAAA
rnacentral:tRNA from 1 species